rnacentral:rRNA from 1 species
AAUAGAUACCCCGGUAGUCCACGCCGUAAACGAUGGAUGCUAGCGUCGGGGUAGCCUUGCUCUUCGUGGCGCAGACUAACGCCUUAAGCAUCCCGCCUGGGGAGUACGGUCGCAAGAUUAAACUACAAGGAAAGUUGACGGGGGCCCGGCACAAGACGGUGGAGGCAUGUGGUUUAAUUUACGAAGCAACGACGCAAGAACCUUACCAACCGUUGACAUGCCCGGUCGCGGACGACGAGAGAUCGACUCCUUCCAGGUUAGGCUGGACCGGACACGAGGUGCUGCGUAUGGCUGUCGUCAGCUCGUGUCGUGUAGGUAAUCGUUGGGUUAAAGUCCCGCAACGACGUCGCAACCCUUGCCUUUACGUGCCAAUUCAGUUUACGUGGGCAACGUCUAAAGGGCUGGCCGGUGAACGUAAGCCGGUAGGAAGUGGGGAUGAACGUCAAGUCCUCAUCGGCCCUUAGGGUGGCUACACACGUGCUACAAUGGCGGUGACGAGAGGGGCAGCGAAGUCCGCGAGGUACAAGCUAAUCCCAAAAAGCCGUCUCAGUUCGGAUUGCACUCUGA